rnacentral:rRNA from 1 species
AAAGUUGAAAAGUACUUUGAAGAGAGAGUAAACAGUGCGUGAAACCGCUCAGAGGUAAACGGGUGGAGUUGAACUGCAAGCUCCGAGAAUUCAGCUGAUGAGUGUGACUUGAGCUGGGUCAAAUUGAUUGAUGCUUGAGGUCUGCGUCCCCGCAGGUUCUCGUCUUCGGGCGGGAAUGCGCGCUAUGCUUGUCAUGUUUUGCGCGCCUUGAGUGUUAUCGGAUCUGCUCGUCGGUGCACUUUCUCGGGGUGGUCACCACGACCGGCGCUGCUGUCUGGCUGUUGCGGUCAAACCGGUCUUGCUUGGUCCUUGUGGCUUUGCUUGAUUGGCACGGCAGGUAGCUCGUUAGUUUGCUUGCAAGCUUUCGGGUGUAAUCAGCUGUCCGUAAUGGUUCAGUGCGGUGUGUCGGAGACGGCGGCUUAUGGUGUGGGCGUGUGUGAUUGCAGAUGGCGUUCUUGAGUCUGGUCGUUAUGUUGCCUGUUCAACCAGGCCUGAUGAUGGCUUGAGGAUGUUCGGUUUGUAGUUGCAUGUGUUUCACUGCUAAGGGCCUAUAGUCUGUGGUGUAGUGGUAGACUUUCCACCUGACCCGUCUUG